rnacentral:rRNA from 1 species
UGGGCUUGACAUGUAGGGAAAAGCCGUAGAGAUAUGGUGUCCGAAAGGGUCCUGCAC